rnacentral:rRNA from 1 species
GGGGACAGCUAACGGGCCUUCAGGGCCCCAUGCUCACCCCGAGCAGAGCCGCGCCUUCGGGUGCGGCCUGUGUAGAGCGCGCAAGGGUGUCGGUCUGGCCAGCGGCAGCGCUGGCCGGGCUUAAGGUACGUGCCAACCCCCCGCGAAAGCGGGGUCUGCAUCCAAGUGCCCGCCGCACGAAGGUGCAGAGGUCCCUCCCCACAGCGGGGGGGCCAGUAGUCCCCAUGGACAGAAAACACGGCCAGCAGCCGCGGUAAUUCCAGCUCCAAUAGCGUAUAUUAAAGUUGUUGCAGUUAAAAAGCUCGUAGUUGAACCUUGGGCCUGGCUGGCCGGUCCGCCUCACCGCGUGCACUGGUCCGGCCGGGCCUUUCCCUCUGGGGAACCUCAUGCCCUUCACUGGGUGUGCUGGGGAACCAGGACUUUUACUUUGAAAAAAUUAGAGUGUUCAAAGCAGGCCUAUGCUCGAAUACAUUAGCAUGGAAUAAUAGAAUAGGACGUGCGGUUCUAUUUUGUUGGUUUCUAGGACCGCCGUAAUGAUUAAUAGGGACAGUCGGGGGCAUCAGUAUUCAAUUGUCAGAGGUGAAAUUCUUGGAUUUAUUGAAGACUAACUACUGCGAAAGCAUUUGCCAAGGAUGUUUUCAUUAAUCAGGAACGAAAGUUAGGGGAUCGAAGACGAUUAUCUGGUCGUCGAGAGUGCCCGCUCCCAGCGGGUGCUAGUCCGCCGGGCCUGCUUCACCGCGGGCCACGGCGGGCGACACCGUCAAAGUGUCGGGGACCUCCUAAAGGCCUAGGCUACACCUGUGCGCUGGAAACAGCGCGCAGUCGUAAUAACGCCGGGCAUGACGGGGCUCGCGAGAGCCCCCGAAAUGGACAAUCCGCAGCCAAGCCCUACAGCGCCUCCGCGGCGCCAGGGGUGCAGUUCACAGACUAGACGUCGGUGGGGGUCCUACGGGGCUCAUAAGAUAUAGUCGAUCCAGCGCGGAAACGCCCUGGGGUAGCAAAAAUGCAGAUACCGUCGUAGUCUUAACCAUAAACUAUGCCGACUAGGGAUCGGACGAUGUUAUUUUUUGACUCGUUCGGCACCUUACACGAAAGUACAAGUUUCUGGGUCUGGGGGAG